rnacentral:rRNA from 1 species
GUGAGUUAUUAAAUGCAUGAACUAGGGGGACUAAACUGUAAAACUGGCAGUCUCAGGAAUAAUAGGAAAAAUUCAGGCGCUGAAAAAAAAACACAUGACGGGCUGAAACAGAGGCCGGCCCAAGAAGAACAGGGAUCUGGAGGGGAAAGCUCACAUCGGGCCUUGGCCCGGUUGGAGGCUGUUGGGCCUUGGGAGGCUGAGUUCAACGCAAGCGGUGGGCCGAGGCCCACGCGCGGGAGACGUG